rnacentral:rRNA from 1 species
AUUGAACGCUGGCGGCAGGCUUAACACAUGCAAGUCGAGCGGGGUGAUGGUGCUUGCACUAUCACUUAGCGGCGGACGGGUGAGUAAUGCUUAGGAAUCUGCCUAUUAGUGGGGGACAACAUCUCGAAAGGGAUGCUAAUACCGCAUACGUCCUACGGGAGAAAGCAGGGGAUCACUUGUGACCUUGCGCUAAUAGAUGAGCCUAAGUCGGAUUAGCUAGUUGGUGGGGUAAAGGCCUACCAAGGCGACGAUCUGUAGCGGGUCUGAGAGGAUGAUCCGCCAGACUGGGACGGAGACACGGCCCAGACUCCUACGGGAGGCAGCAGUGGGGAAUAUUGGACAAUGGGGGGAACCCUGAUCCAGCCAUGCCGCGUGUGUGAAGAAGGCCUUAUGGUUGUAAAGCACUUUAAGCGAGGAGGAGGCUCUUUUGGUUAAUACCCAAGAUGAGUGGACGUUACUCGCAGAAUAAGCACCGGCUAACUCUGUACCAGCAGCCGCCGCCG